GCCCGAAUGGCGUAAUUGGUAGCCGCGUUGGACUCAAAAUCCAAUGGUAGUGAUAUCGUGCCGGUUCGAGUCCGGCUUCGGGCACCA
rnacentral:tRNA from 1 species